UUUUUUUUUUUUGUGCGGCUUUCCCGUGCGGCGAUGAGACGGGGGCGGACGGCGGCGGAAUACAUUCGAGAAAGGGGGCGCGUGGGAAAGCGACGGCCGGGAGCCGGGCCGCGGUCCGGCGACGCACGUGGGGGCCCGUGAGGCGUGACCGGCCGGGCCAGAGAAAAGAAAAGGAAAGGUCACGGCGGUGGGUUUCGGCCCACGAGACAUUCAAUUGAUAGGCACCCACAGCCCAAGGUGGUGAGGUUUCGGCUUGUUUCGGCCUGGUCCGGCGCAUUUUUUGGGGGACGUGCGUGUGCGGUGGACCUGGUGGUGGUGGCGCCGCCGGCCUGGCAAAGUGACGUUGUGUGCUGCUGGGCGGCGGUGGGGUCCAGCCGCCGUCUGCGCGGCUCGCUGCCGGUCGAGGAGCCUAUAAAAGGGGAGGGUCUCCGGCAGCUGGUGAGCGCCCUCGCUUGCGCAGAAACCCUAGUCGCCACAUCACGGCCGCCUCGCUCGAUCGGCAUACCGGUCGCCUGGCUCCCAUUUCUCACCUCCAUCUCUCUUCAGUCUUCAGAUCUGUGCACGGCCACAUCAAGCAUGUGCCUCUCCUUUCUCUGAUGUUGGGAGCGUAGCAUAGUAAGCCGGUUGCCGCGAGGUACUGUGAUUUGUGUUUGCGUCUCGGUCCUUUUGAUUGAUGCGGUUUUGGUUGUUUUUUUCUUCCGUUUGUGUGCGUCUUUUUGCCGGAUCACACGGAUCGAUGAUGCUGUUCAAGAAAUACUGCGUUAUCUUCCUGAUACAAAUGUGAGGCCGUCGUUGCGAUGGCCUCCUGAUGACUCAACUGUCUUGCUGAGAUCCAAGUGACAACAAAUCGGCAGCUCUUCUUUCUGUCGCCUCCCCGCCUCAAUCAUCUGCCUAUGCCUAUCAAUUGAAUGUCUCGUAGUCGUAGGACAGGUGUUUUUAUUUUCGUCGCUCCAUCCAUCUUGCCGCCCUGCUAUAAGAGCAUAUGUAACUGCCUUGCUUGCUUCAUAUGGUUGAAUUAAUACGAUCUGACUAGCCAGAUUUAGAAUGGUUGCUUCAUCAAACCAUCAAAUAAUUGAGCCCAAUCCAUCGAUGUUGCAAACCUAUGUGACCUCAACCAGACCAGUUGCAGUUUCAGUGCAGAGUUCAGACAAGCAUUCCUGAAAGGUCACCAACUCUUUGCUGCAUAUUAGCUUUUUUUAUAGCAAUUACUCAAACCGCUUUUCAGACCAUAACCGAAAUUAGCAGCACAUGACGUCUGAGACAGACAGAAAGUAUGGCAUCAGGGAAAAAAAAAGGUCCCAAGCUAAACAGCAAGUGUAAAGCCAGCUAAUGCAGUUCACAAAUACUUGCAGCGACUUAAACUGCACCAAUUAACACAGUGAAGAUGAACACAGCAAAGUCAAGUACGUGCAUGUUAACCGAACACAGCCGAAUACGGUGCUACCAGUUUACUGUGAUGGUAUCUGGCGGAAGAAAGGUUAACUGAGUUAUGACACGAUUACAUUACAGGCAAUGCGGAAGCAAACUACGGUGUCAGCGUUUAACACCACUUUUCACAGUAUUGUCAAGCAAGCUUAUGUACAGCUGCUCUAACGAAUUUACAGUGACUCCGGCAAGCUCUAUCUCACGACUGAUGAUGGCGGAGCUUCCCCUAGUGUCUCCUAACCGUCAGCGGCAUAGAAAGGAAUCGACUUCAGUGGCAUCACCUUCUCCUGCAAUAUAAGGAAGUGCUGUCAGUGAAUUCUAACCUAUGCCUGGUAAGAAAAUGAACAGGAAUAGCGUGCCUUUGUUGCUACCUCAGAGUUCUCCAGAUGCUCUGAGGGGAAAUGAAGCCCAGUGGAACAGUUCUCAAGCACCUCCGGACUCUUCAGCCAUGCUUUGUGAGCUUCAAUGGCUUUCAGCUUAAAGCGAAACAUCUGCAAGUGCCAACAUCCACCCAUUUUCAGGCACACCACAUAUAAUGUACAGAAAAGUGAAAUGAAUUAUCCUUAAAGAGAAGAGAAAUAAGUAGCUGACAAGGAGUAAUAAUGUGCUACAAACCUCAGAUAAAGAAAUACUUGGCUUCUCCAGUUCAUCCCCCUUGACAUGAAUUCCAGUACCUUGACACUCUGGGCAAAAUAUGGAUGUUAUUUUGCUCUUCUUAGGUGCAUUCUUUGCCUUUCUUCCUCGAUUGCUCUUCCCCUUGCUAGCUAUUUGGUCACUCAGCAUCUCAUAUUGACACAAAAUACUCCAGUGUAAGAGGCAGGAAGUGUGAAACAGAUGAUAAGCCUGCAAAAUCAAGUGUAGCAAACUCAUUACAGCAGCAAAUUAAAAAUUUAAAAAAAGGAGACUUUCUAAUUAGUAUAUUUAAUAAGAUGGAAGAAAAGGAAUUCUGCCACUGCAUUUUUGUCUCAGGGAAGAUAGCUUUGUAUUGCUAAUUGUGAAACAAGGAUGCAGAAGGUCUAACUUUUGAAUUAUGUUCUCAUUUACUUCCUCUGUACAAAAAUAGUAAACCUGUCCAUGCUGCUAUGUUCAAGAAACAUUAUGGAAUAGAAGAGCAAAGAAUGCUUGAAAUUACUCACCCCACUCGAAUUUCUACUGCUGCAAGCUAGGUUUCCUGUAUUGCAGUUCAGCAAGGUAGCAACAUCCUUUCCAGGAAGCAUUGGUCUCCCACAGAUAUCACACACUUUCUCAGCUGCUAUGCGCUUCUGCUUCCUCAACUCUUUCCUCACUGAUUUGCUGGAUAAGAGGCCAACUUGAAGAUUGUGUGAGGUACCUGUUGGGGAACCAGUCACAAUAGCUUGGCUACUGCCCUGGGGAGAACUGCUUUGACCAUUCGACUCUUCUGAAGAUGCCUCCUGGUCCGAAAAGGACUUUCUCAUUCUCUUUCCACGAUGCCCAGCAUCAUCAAUAACAAAGAAAGAUCCAGCAGAGAUAGAAAGGUCCUGUUCAUCAGAAGACCACUUCCUGCCCAAAUCAUGAGUAUAAGAGAAGUUGACUAUGGCAAAGCCAGAUUGCUCAUAAGUGUUACAACUCUGAGAGCCAUGGGAGCCUUCUUGUCCUACCCAAGCACACCAGAUCUUGCUUAUCUUCUUGCAAUUCUUGUUACCUUCACAGAUCCUGUAUGAAAUAUUUCCAUACCCCAAAUGAUGCACAGGCAAGUCUGAAACAACAUCUUUUAUCAAUACACCAGGGAUAACAAGAGGACCAUCAGUUCCACCGUUUGACAGCACAUGAUCUUCAGAUACAGCAGCAACUCUACCACUAGCAUGGCCUUUUGCACAAUUGCGUGCACCUUCCACACCAUUACGGGAGCUAGAACCAUCUCUCAACUUUGAAGUCACCUCGAUCUCAUUCCCUGAAACCUCAGGCUGUGGAACUAGAGCUAGCUCUCUGGUGCUCUGCGAGCUUGAAUCCAGCAGGAGCGGAUCCUUCUCUCGCGAGUUGUUGAAGAACAGCACUCCGUCAUUAAACGGCCAUGGCAUCGGCCCAAACAGUGUGACCUUGGCCUCGGCGUACCGCCUUGAGUGCAGAUUCCCCUUGAGGUGGUCGAACAGCACAUUGUCGCUGAAGCACUCGGUGAGACAGAUGGUGCAGAAGAAGAUGACGCGCUUCCCGACGCGCCGGAGCUCCACAUAUGUGUGCCCAUUCUGCCGCACCUCCCGGAGAGUGGCCUUCGCAGCAAUCUCACGGAUGUCCACAGGGCCAUUCCUCUGGACCACCAAUUCCUUCCCCACCAUGGUGAAAUACUCGGAGCCACCAACCUUAAAUUUCCGCUUCUUUUGCUCACAAUUCCCUCAAAUUUCCCUCCAAAAACUACUUCCCUAACCUUCUCUUAUUGAAAUUAUAUGAAACUACAACCAAGACUAACACCUCUUCAGAUCUAUGCUUCCCUCCAAACCCUAAAAUUACAACUUAACAGCGAACUAACGGAGGUCGGAGCGGGCCUCGAUUACCCCACCCGUUUUUCCAGCUCUGUAUGCAUAGAUAGGAAGCCAAAUCGCACGAAAGCGGGCGGAAUUGAGCGCCCAUCCCAGAAACCGAAAUUUGAGUUCCCUGGCUCACAGCGAUGAAAGGGAAAUAUCAGCACGAACCUAGCUCGUCGAGUAAUCCAUCCAAUCAAGCAAGGUAGGCUCCCUUACGAACCAGAGCAGGAGCCACUUGAAGCCCGGAUGGAUCUGCGAGGGUUGGUGGUCACCAGCAAAGGGGAGGAGCGUAGCGACCGCGAGGGAUGAAGAACCGGACCGACGUGCUUCGGUGGAAGGAGGCGUGGGUGGGGGCGUGUUCCGCGGCGCGGUGAGGCAGCGGGGCCUUGGUCGCUGGUGGCGGGUGGCGGGAGCAGGUUCGCCGGCGAAGUGGUGGCUACCGGCGUCGGCGUGGGAAAUUUGGGAUGAGAAGGCGCAGGAGGACGACGAGAAUUCGAGAAGAGAAAGGAAGGCUGGUAGAAAGCGAAACGAGAGGUGUUCGGAAUAAAUAUGGUCACGGCGUGUUUCAGCAGACGGUUUUUUGAAUGGCUCGUGACUUACCGGAAGUGGGGUGAUAAAAAUGGUCGGAAGCCCGGAAAAGGCAACAAAAUUGUUGAUGGAGUUGUUUUAACUUUUAAGCAAACAUCCCUUUCUUUUUUUUGAGAAAUUUUAACAAACAUAGAAAAGAUAAAACUAUAAAAUAUUAUCAUUCACCUAGAUGUUUAUAUACGCAUAUGCAACUAUGCAUACACCCUACCUCUAUGAGCAUCGACGAGAUAUUGAAUUGACAAAUCUUGGUAUUAACAAUAUCACCGUAGCUGAUCAACAGAAAUAUAUACCACUAAAAAUAUUGUUAAUUUCUAAAAUAAAUUUAGAAAAAUACGAGCACCCAUAUUAAUUUGAUGAUUCUAACCCAAAUAGACGUGCUUGAUCGUAAAGAACCUUAUGAACUGAGCUGUGCUUUGAUUCACAAAUUUACUGUUUACAUUAAGAUGUAUUUUGGGAUAAUGAAACUUAAAACUAAUAAUGAAAAUAGGAGCACUCCCAAAGAAAUCUGUUCAAAACAUGAUUUCCUCGUUCAUUUCCCUACCCUAAUCGUCAAUGUUUUGUGAUAUCGGCAGUUCGGCACAUCGUCUUAUGAUUUCAUUGGAUCGUCCCAUACGUUGUUUUGUAAUAUUGGCAGACUAGUGUUGUACUGUUAAACACGGCUCUAUGUUGACCGGGACCGGGAUCAUAUACUUUCUUUCCUCUUAAGAUAUAUGCUCACACACGAUGGGAAAAAAAAAUCAAACUAUACAGAAACACAUGCAGCAGUUCUCAUGACCGCCUCCGGUGCCCAUUUCUAUCUGGGCAGAUAAAAAAAAAGGCAUGCAUCACACGCUUCGUCUCCACCAUCAUCAGAAAGGAAAGCGAAAGAAGAUAAAAACCAGCUCUUUUUACAUGUUCGCUCCGUUGAUUUUGCGUCAGGCUGAACAUUUCUUCUGCUUUUCGUGAGAAGGAAAAGAAGUUUCAACUUUCAACUCUACUAUGAUCUCUUCGGUGGCUACGGAUAUGCCACAUCUUAAUAUUCUGAUACUAAAUUCCGAAUUGACACUUGACCUGUGCACCAAUCAACAACGACGUGACACCCAACCUCAGUAACGUGGUGUGUUUUCCAAUUUAUCUAUUUUCUAAUAACAAAAACAAUGCUUUUGUGCCGGUCAACAUCAGGCAGCAGAAACUGAGAGCCAUGAGCCCAUGAGCAUCUUCAGAGUAUAAUCCUUUCUGAGGUGGCAAAGGUGCAAGGGCAUAUCCGGACCCAGCCAUGUACAUUCUUUCUGAGAUAACCGGAUAAAAUCCUUCAAAAGCAAUAGAAAAAUGAAGCUGCCAACAACCAGCACAUGAAUCAUCAACUGUCGGUGCCCUCGUUGAACAGCCGAACAAUCAUGCUUAUACAAAAUCGAACGCAGUGCUACUCCCAAAAGAGUUUCCCAGCGCCCAGGAAAGCGCCAAUCACAUGGUCCAUUUCAUAUGGCAUAUGAUCUCCAGCCUGGAGGAUCCGUCGCCGAAGAUAUUUCGUUAUCCCGCCACAACAGGCAAGCAAAAGUAGAUAACGCAA
rnacentral:lncRNA from 1 species